AGAUUGAACGCUGGCGGCAUGCCUUACACAUGCAAGUCGAACGGCAGCACGGGAGCAAUCCUGGUGGCGAGUGGCGAACGGGUGAGUAAUAUAUCGGAACGUGCCCAGUAAUGGGGGAUAGCCCGGCGAAAGCCGGAUUAAUACCGCAUACGACCUACGGGUGAAAGCGGGGGAUCGCAAGACCUCGCGUUAUUGGAGCGGCCGAUAUCAGAUUAGCUUGUUGGCGGGUAAAAGCCCACCAAGGCAACGAUCUGUAGCUGGUCUGAGAGGACGACCAGCCACACUGGGACUGAGACACGGCCCAGACUCCUACGGGAGGCAGCAGUGGGGAAUUUUGGACAAUGGGCGCAAGCCUGAUCCAGCCAUGCCGCGUGUGGGAAGAAGGGCCUUCGGGUUGUAAACCACUUUUUUGUCCAGGGAACGAAACGGUCCUUUACUAAUAGUUAGGGCUAAGUGACGUACCUGAAG
rnacentral:rRNA from 1 species